UAUUGUUCCAUGCCUUUCAACACAAGUGUCUGGACACGGCUCAGCCAGUCAGAAGGGAACUGUAAUGGGAAUCCUUCGGAGUCUUGGAGCUUUAGCUCGAGCACUGGGCCCAUUGUGGCUUCUUCAGUGUACUGGUUGGCUGGAGCAGAAUUAUGUUUUAUAAUCAGUUCAGCGUUCUUUAUAGUCCCUCUGGUUUUACUGAGUCGGCUGAGGAGACAGAAGGAGGAAUGAGAUUGAGAGUUUAAGGAUUCACUCUUGUGUCAUAAGAGGGUCAGACCCACUGAUCUAUAAUAGAGAGUCUUUCCAUAUAGAUCAGUGGUCAGACCUCUUUUUCCUUUCUGAAAGCAUUAAAGCCCACUGAAGAAAGUUCCUCUAAGUAAAGUGUUUACAAGGGGGAAAAAAUAUUAAAAAGUACUUGUGCUUAUGAAAUUGGUUUAUUUCACUGUUAAAAAACAACAGACUGUACAUAGUAAAACAGUAUUUUAUGAAUGUAUUUUUACAACACUUAAUCAACAGAUACAAAUGUUUGUGCUACUUGUCAGUGGGUGCUACUGUUUUAUAAGAAUGACAUUAUAUAUUUGGUUAAUAUUGCUGCAUAUACA